GGAUGUGUGGAGGCACGGAGCCGCGGGAAGCGGGAGGGGGCUGGCGUUUUGCGGAAUCACGGGGCGGUAUGCGCACCGAGGGGGACCUGCGAGUCAGGGGUGGAAUCCCUGGGCUCAACCUCGGAACUGACUUGGAGACGGUUGGUCUCGAGUCCGGAAGAGGUGGGUGGAAGUCCUAGUGGAGGGGUGAAAUUCGUAGAUAUUAGGAAGAACACCGGUGGCGAAGGCGGCCCACUGGUCCGGUACUGACGCUGAGGUGCGAAAGCGUGGGGAGCAAACAGGAUUAGAUACCGUGUAGUC
rnacentral:rRNA from 1 species